rnacentral:lncRNA from 1 species
CCAAGUCCUUGCUGGUGUUGAGAACUUCCUGAUUCUCUACCAGUGGGUUAGCAUCGAGAACCACAGAGUUCUCUGCUGAACUAUAAAGCCUUUCCGGCAUCAAGAACCACAGAGUUCUUUGCUGAACCCCAAGGCCUUGUGAGGGUCCAGAAGUUCUCUAAUGUGUUGGGUAACCCCAAGGCCUUGUGAGGGUCCAGAAUUUCUCUGCCUAUGAGCUAGCAUAGAGAACCAUAAAGUUCUCUCCUGAACGCCGAGGCCGUGCCGACGUCGAGGACUUCCAGGUUCUGUGCAGGCAAGAAAGCAUGGAGAACCACAAUGUUUUUGAUGAACCCUAAAUUCUUACCAGCGUCGAGUACUUCCUGGUUCUCUGCCGGCGAGCUAGCAUUGAGAACCACAAAGUUCUUUGCUGAACCCUAAAUCCUUGUCGGUGUUGAGAACUUCCAGGCUCUGUGUCGUCGAGUCAGUAUCGACAACCAUAGAUUUCUCUACUGAAUCCCAAUCCUUUCCCGGCAUCGAGGACUUCCAAGUUCUCUAUCAACGAGCUAGCAUAGGGAACCACAAAGUUUUGUGCUGAAACCUAAAGCCUUACCAGUGUCGAGAACUUUCAGGUUCUUUGCCGAUGAGCCAACAUCAAGAACCACAGAGUUCUCUUUUGAACCCUAAAGGUUUAGUGGCAUCGAGAACUUUCGGGCUCUCUGUCGGUGAGCUAUCAUCGGGAACCACAUAC